UAGUGGCAGACGGGUGAGUAAUGUAUAGGAAUCUACCUAGUAGUACGGAAUAAUUGUUGGAAACGGCAACUAAUACCGUAUAUGCCCUACGGGGGAAAAAUUUAUUGCUAUUAGAUGAGCCUAUAUUAGAUUAGCUAGUUGGUGGAGUAAUAGCCUACCAAGGCAAUGAUCUAUAGCUGAUCUGAGAGGAUGAUCAGCCACACUGGAACUGAGAUACGGUCCAGACUCCUACGGGAGGCAGCAGUGGGGAAUAUUGGACAAUGGGCGAAAGCCUGAUCCAGCCAUGCCGCAUGAGUGAAGAAGGCCUUUGGGUUGUAAAGCUCUUUUAGUGAGGAAGAUAAUGACGGUACUCACAGAAGAAGUCCUGGCUAACUCCGUGCCAGCAGCCGCGGUAAUACGGAGAGGGCUAGCGUUAUUCGGAAUUAUUGGGCGUAAAGGGCGCAUAGGCUGGUUAGUAAGUUAAAAGUGAAAUCCCGAGGCUUAACCUUGGAACUGCUUUUAAAACUGCUAACCUAGAGAUUGAAAGAGGAUAGAGGAAUUCCUAGUGUAGAGGUGAAAUUCGUAAAUAUUAGGAGGAACACCAGUGGCGAAGGCGUCUAUCUGGUUCAAAUCUGACGCUGAGGCGCGAAGGCGUGGGGAGCAAACAGGAUUAGAUACCCUGGUAGUCCACGCUGUAAACGAUGAAUGUUAAAUAUGGGAAGUUUACUUUCUGUAUUACAGCUAACGCGUUAAACAUUCCGCCUGGGGACUACGGUCGCAAGAUUAAAACUCAAAGGAAUUGACGGGGACCCGCACAAGCGGUGGAGCAUGUGGUUUAAUUCGAUGCAACGCGAAAAACCUUACCACUCCUUG
rnacentral:rRNA from 2 species